GACGAACGCUGGCGGCGUGCUUAACACAUGCAAGUCGAGCGGAAAGGUCCUGCUUUUGUGGGGUGCUCGAGUGGCGAACGGGUGAGUAACACGUGAGUAACCUGCCCUUGACUUUGGGAUAACUUCAGGAAACUGGGGCUAAUAUCGGAUAGGAGCUCCUGCUGCAUGGUGGGGGUUGGAAAGUUUCGGCGGUUGGGGAUGGACUCGCGGCUUAUCGGCUUGUUGGUGGGGUAGUGGCUUACCAAGGCUUUGACGGGUAGCCGGCCUGAGAGGGUUACCGGCCACAAUGGGACUGAGAGACGGCCCAGACUCCUACGGGAGGCAGCGGUGGGAAAUAUUGCACAAUAGGCGGGAGCCUGAUGCAGCAACGCCGCGUGCGGGAUGACGGCCUUCGGGUUGUAAACCGCUUUCGCCGGUGACGAAGCGUGAGUGACGGUAAUGGGUAAAGAAGCACCGGCUAACUACGUG
rnacentral:rRNA from 1 species